rnacentral:tRNA from 1 species
GUUGUGGCUCAAGUGGUAGAGCACUUGCCUAGUAAGCAAGAGACCUUGAGUUCAAACCCGAGUACUACA